CAUUGAGGUGAUGAGCAAGUUGUCGGAAAACACAAUGUCGAUCUAAAAAUACUUCCAGACUACAAUUAUCUGAUCAAUG